rnacentral:tRNA from 1 species
GCCCUGGUGGCGCAAUGGUUAAGCGAUCAGCCGCUAACUGAAAGGUUGGUGGUUUGAACCCACUCAAAGGCU